AGGUCAGGGAAACCCGAUCUGGUCCUGCCUUCCAGGAAUUCAUGCUCCUGCAGGUAUUCCCAGAGAAUCUGCCCCUGCCGUCCUGGUAAAAAAAAGUGUCUGUACUGUUUCCAAGCAAGUUAGAGAACAUUUUCAUGUCAAUUACAGCUGCGUGUCACAACUGUUUGGCUACGUCUCCUUUGGGGUUUGAGACUAAUGUUUCAUGAAGUUUUCAUAGGGAAAAAUGAGAACAAUCUAUUUCAAUUACUUUGUAGAAGUCAAAUUUACAUAAUCAUUGAAUGUAAUGCUAUUCGUGAUGGGCUUCCCCAGAGUGCCAGAGACACCAUCCCUGCAAGUGCCUUGGCCCUGGAGGAAGAGCUAGACCUUCUGCACACUUAGAGCAUGGAGCCUCAACUGGAUGGGCCACUGGCCAAGGCUAAUUAGGCCAAAUGUGAAAACCCACUCAAGGGGAGAAGAGAGAAAGGAAAGCAUUCUCUUUAAUUAAUAAUUCUUUCCUCAAACUUCAGAGGCAAACAGGAAAAUUAAAAUCUAUUUUAAUAAUAUAGUCUUCAUGAAUGUGAAAUGUAGUCUCAGGCAGACAUUGAUUCAGAGCCUUUUGUGUAUGUGUGGAAAAGAAUAUUGCCUUUUGUGUGACCUUUAAGAAAUCCAGAAUGACAGUCUGGAAUUAGAAAGGAUUUCUUACUUGACUGAAUUCUAAGGCAGGCCCCUCCCACACCCUCUGCCACUGGGUCUCUUUGUACAUGUGUCAGGUUGUGACAUUUGCGCCAAGCGUAUGCUGGCUGGGAACAUGUAGGGACUUGAGAAUCUGUGGUACCUUCUGUGAGGGCCACAGUCACAUCUUUGGCUUGUGUUCUCCAAGUCUAGCAUUACAUAGUAGGUACUAUGGUAAGUUCACUAUGCAGGGCAUUGCCCUAAACAAACAAUAUAGGCUUCAAACAAACAAACAAGCAAAUAAGUAAAUAAGCAAAAGAAAUAUAGAGCCUCACACACUCACAAGUUCUUUGUGCAAUCAAGAAAUGUGGGCUCCCUUACUCCCAAUUCCCUUUCCCCCUCUCUCCACGUGGCCAUGGCUGGCCCCCAUUUCUCUACUCGCUCCUUCUCUCUGCUUUUCUCUGCCUCUGCUACCCUCUUAACUCCCCUCCCCAUGCCCUGAAUAAACUCUAUUCUAUACU
rnacentral:lncRNA from 1 species